UGGGGGAUAUUGCACAAUGGGGGGAAACCCUGAUGCAGCGACGCCGCGUGAGUGAAGAAGUAUUUCGGUAUGUAAAGCUCUAUCAGCAGGGAAGAAAAAAGACGGUACCUGACUAAGAAGCCCCGGCUAACUACGUGCC
rnacentral:rRNA from 1 species